CGAACCCGGCGCUAACGCAAUAAGUACCCCGCCUGGGAAGUACGGUCGCAAGACUAAAACUCAAAGGAAUUGACGGGGGCCCGCACAAGCGGUGGAUCAUGUGGUUUAAUUCGAAGCAACGCGAAGAACCUUACCUGGAUUUGACAUCCCUUGACAACCUUAGAGAUAGGGCUUCUGUAGCAAUACAGCAAGGAGACAGGUGCUGCAUGGCUGUCGUCAGCUCGUGUGGUGACAUGUUGGGUUAAGUCCCGCAACGAGCGCAACCCUUGUCUCUAGUUGCCAGCAUUAAGUUGGGCACUCUAAAGAGACUGCCGUGGUUAACACGGAGGAAGGUGGGGAUGACGUCAAGUCCUCAUGGCCUUUAUAUCCAGGGCGACACACGUGAUACAAUGGACGGUACAAAGGGACGCCAAGAGGCAACUCGGAGCUAAUCUCAAAAAGCCGUUCUCAGUUCGGAUUGGAGUCUGCAACUCGACUCCAUGAAGUUGGAAUCGCUAGUAAUCGCGGAUCAGCACGCCGCAGUGAAUACGUUCCCGGGCCU
rnacentral:rRNA from 1 species